CCUACGGGUGGCAGCAGUGAGGAAUAUUGGUCAAUGGGCGAGAGCCUGAACCAGCCAAGUCGCGUGAGGGAAGACGGUCCUAUGGAUUGUAAACCUCUUUUGCCGGGGAGCAAAAAGCGGUACGUGUACCGCAUCGAGAGUACCCGGAGAAAAAGCAUCGGCUAACUCCGUGCCAGCAGCCGCGGUAAUACGGAGGAUGCGAGCGUUAUCCGGAUUUAUUGGGUUUAAAGGGUGCGCAGGCGGCGGGUUAAGUCAGCGGUAAAAGUUCGGGGCUCAACCCCGACGAGCCGUUGAAACUGGCUUGCUAGAGUGGGCGAGAGGUAUGCGGAAUGCGCGGUGUAGCGGUGAAAUGCAUAGAUAUCGCGCAGAACUCCGAUUGCGAAGGCAGCAUGCCGGCUCCACACUGACGCUGAGGCACGAAAGCGUGGGUAUCGAACAGGAUUAGAUACCCGUGUAGUC
rnacentral:rRNA from 1 species